GAAGAAGAGUACAGGAAGAGGAGGAGGGGGCAAAGAAAGGGCUGGCAGAAAGGCUUGGUGCUUCCGAGGUCACGAAAAGAUCCCUUUUCUAGUUGCCAACUUAGAGUUGAGGAUUUUAGUCCCCAGUGAAGAGGGAGGAGGCGAGAAUGAAAUCCUUGAGUGUUUCACUGGUGGUCCUGUGGCUCCAGCUAAAUGGGGUGAGCAGCCAGCAGAAGGUGCAGCAGAACCCAGAAUCUCUCACUGUUCCAGAGGGAGGCAGGACCUCUCUCAACUGCACUUUCAGUGAUAGUACUUCUCGGUAUUUCGCAUGGUACAGACAACAUCCUGGGAAAGAACCCAAGGAGCUAAUGUCCAUCAUCUCCACUGGUGAAAAGGAAGAGGGCAGAUUCACAAUUCAGCUCAAUAAAGCCAGCCUACAUGUUUUCUUGCACAUCAGAGACUCCCAGCCCAGUGACUCUGCUCUCUACUUGUGUGCAGUGAGCACACAGUGCUCCCCAGGCACCUGCAGCCUGCAUGCAAACCUACUGUGCAGUACCAGCCCUGACAUAGGUCACAGACCACACAGCAGAGACAUUCUGUUUCCAUUCUAUUCUAUAUGCUGUGGGACUUAUAAGCAGGAAUAG